GCGGCCGUGGUGUAGCCUGGUAGCACGUCGGCCUUCCAAGCCGGAGAUCCCGGGUUCAAAUCCCGGCGGCCGCA
rnacentral:tRNA from 2 species